rnacentral:lncRNA from 1 species
AGAAUGGAAGGCAACAGAUGUUUGUUGACUUCCUGCUCUAUAUCAGGCACUGUGCUAGAUACCAUACACACCAUCAACAUUUAGGACAGUAUGACAAAGGAGAAUGAAAGCUGUCUGUUGUAGAUAGGAUAUUUUCAGCCGUCAUCACCAUGGACUCUUUGAAAUGUACUACUUUAGAAAAGCCACAGUGACUCCCUCUGGGCCUCACCCACCUGAGAUGACAUCAGGAUGCAAAUCCAGGACUUACUCUCUUCAUACAGAUGGAAUGGUUCACUUGGCUUUUAGAGUGCAGACAAGCCAUUCAGUGGAGGCCGUGCCUCAGCCUGCACUCUUCUGACUCAUGACAUGACUUCUCCAUGGAGAGCCAGGAUUUUUCUCAAGUGUAACAAUAUUAAUUAUCAAGUCACUUUAAAACA